AAAGGAAUUGACGGGGACUUGCACAAGCGGUGGAUCAUGUGGUUUAAUUCGACGCUAAACGAAGCACCUCACCAGGGCUUGAAACUCAGUUGAAAGCUCUAGGAAACUAGAGCCCUCUUCGGACAAUUGGGCAGGUGAUGCAUGGCUGUCGUCAGUUCGUGGUUUGAAUUGUUCCCUUAAGUGGGGUAACGAACGCAACCCUCAUUGCCAGUUAUAAGUGUCUGGCGAGACUGCCCAGCCCUUUGGACUCAAUCUAGAUUGAGAACAGGGGGCUGGGAGGAAGGUGAGGAUGACGCCAAGUCAGCAUGUCCCUUUGAUGCCCUGGGCUACACACGUGAUACAAUGGGUAGGACAACGGGUUGCCAAGCGGCAACGCGGAGCCAAUCCUUUAAACCUAUCCUCAGUUCGGAUAGGGGUCUGCAACUCGACCCCUUGAAGUCGGAAUCGCUAGUAAUCGCGGGUCAGCAUACCGCGGUGAAUACGUUCUCAAGUCUUGUACACACCGCCCGU
rnacentral:rRNA from 1 species